rnacentral:rRNA from 1 species
UGCGUAGGUGGCCAGGUAAGUUCGGUGUGAAAGCUCGGAGCUUAACUCCGAAAUGGCAUUGAAUACUAUCUGGCUAGAGGGUCGGAGGGGAGACUGGAAUUCUCGGUGUAGCAGUGAAAUGCGUAGAUAUCGAGAGGAACACCAGUGGCGAAGGCGAGUCUCUGGACGACACCUGACACUGAGGCACGAAAGCCAGGGGAGCAAACAGGAUUAGAUACCCUGGUAGUCCUGGCUGUAAACGGUGCACGUUUGCUGUAAAAGGAAUCGACCCCUUUUGUGGCGAAGCUAACGCGAUAAACGUGCCGCCUGGGGAGUACGGUCGCAAGAUUAAA